rnacentral:tRNA from 2 species
GUCUCUAUGGCUCAGUCGGUAGAGCGUUGGUCUCAUAUUCAAUUAUAUGACCCUGCCCACAGGUCGGGAUAUCCAAAGGUCGCAAGUUCGAGCCUUGCUAGGGACA